rnacentral:rRNA from 1 species
UACAUGGGGUGCAAACGUUGCUCGGAAUUAUUGGGCGUAAAGCGCGCGUAGGCGGUUAUCUAAGUCGGAUGUGAAAGCCCUCGGCUUAACUGAGGAAGUGCACCCGAAACUGGAUAGCUAGAGUACGAAAGAGGGUCGCGGAAUUCCCGGUGUAGAGGUGAAAUGCGUAGAGAUCGGGGGGAACACCCGUGGCGAAGGCGGCCGGCUGGGCCGGUCCUGACGCUGAGGCGCGAAGGCGUGGGGAGCGAACGGG